rnacentral:rRNA from 1 species
UACGUAGGGUGCAAGCGUUAAUCGGAAUUACUGGGCGUAAAGCGUGCGCAGGCGGCUUUGCAAGACAGAUGUGAAAUCCCCGGGCUUAACCUGGGAACUGCAUUUGUGACUGCAUGGCUGGAGUGCGGCAGAGGGGGAUGGAAUUCCGCGUGUAGCAGUGAAAUGCGUAGAUAUGCGGAGGAAUACCGGUGGCGAAGGCGGCAUCCUGGACCGACAUUGACGCUGAUGAGCGAAAGCGUGGGGAGCGAACAGG